rnacentral:lncRNA from 1 species
ACAGAGUCCAUCAUCUUCAAAUUCAGUAACACAGAGUUCCGAAGAACACAAAGACCUCCUUCAUCAGCACAAGAUCGUCGCCGCAAACAACCAUUCUACGACGGCGGCGCUUGCUGAUUUCCUUUCCCACUCCAUCGCCGCCUCCAUUAAGACCAAGAAAAAGAAGGCCCAACACAUAUCCCUAGGAUCUGGAAUUUGCCUAAAGAUGGAGGAGAAGAGUAGUGUUGCAUCAAGUUGAGAAAUUUGAUUUUGCAAGUCUAAUUUUUAUUCUCCGAGUUGUUUGGCUACAAUUUCUUUACAUUCGAGUUGUUCCCUUAAUUCUGUGUUAUCAAAGCCCAAGGUUUCCAAUUCAUGCUUCAAGAUAAAUACUUGGCCCUCCAAGUCCUUUAUUUGAGUUGUUGUCUCCCUCUUGUGAACCUCAUGUGCUUUACUCAGAGACAAAAAUUUAUCCUUUAAAAAGCUAGAUCCAUUCAUGAAUUUUUCUUCUGAACUCGGGGUAUCCUCAUUUUCAUUUUUCUUGUGAACCUCUUGUAUAUCCAUCAAAGGUGAUACAGAUUUCGAAUUUGGGGCUUGCUUGAGGUAUAGAUCUUGUGAAUUUGAAACCUAAGUUUCUUAUUAUGCCCAUCCUUAACCUUCUCAAGGCCCCUCCUUUUCAAUUGAUUGUUCUUAGAAAUUAACUCAUCAUCAGACCUUGCAGAAGAAGUAGAAAAACUAUUGCCUUUACUGCCUACGACUCUUGUCCUUACAUCACCCUUGAGGUUAUCAUAAAGAGCAUAAAUACAUUUAAUUUGGAUUUGUGGUGAAGAAAUGAUGAAUUAGAUUUGGAUUUCGGCUAGUUCCGAUUCUGGGUUGUUGGAGUUCUAGAACUUGGUUGCUUUGAUUUUGAUAGAGUUUUAAAUUUUUGAUUUCGAAUUAUUUUGGAUUUGUGGAUAGAGGUCUGUGAAGAUAAAGUUUUUUUUCUUUUAUCUGGAAAAAGGAAAAUAAUAAUAAUAAUAAUAAUAAUAAUAAUAACAAUAAUAAUAAUAAUCCCUCCAUUUUAAAAUAUUAGAUAAUUUUAUAUUUUUAAAGUGAAAUUAAAAUAUUUAAAAAUUAAAAAAUAUGAAUCUAUUAAUUUAUUUUAUUGUUAAUUAAUUAUUUAAUUUAAUUAUUUUUUGUGUAUAUUAAUUUAAUUUAUAUUUUGAUUAACUAUUUGUUAUAGAAUUGAGUAUAAUUUAAUUUAAUUAGUAUCCAACUUAGCUUCUCUCUCCUUGUCACGUGACACAUAGAUUUGUCACUAUUGCCACGUCCUUUUUCUGUUAAAUGGUUAACAAACAUAGACGGUAAAAUAACUUUUGUAAAUAACGUAUAGUUCAAUGAGUUGACCGUGAAAAAAAUCAAUUCAGUGAUGCAUUUGUAAACCGACCCCUAGUAGAGUGAUGAAAAGUGUAAUUAACCCCUUUUACUUCUGAUGUAUGUUCUCAAACUACUUUAUAUACUUGCUAGGCAAUUUGUGCUCAUUCUUGCUUAAACAUUUCAGUUAAGGCUGAUAACGCUGAGGGCUCGGGCAAGGACAAGGGAAAGUCUAAGAUAAAAUGAUGAG